GCUCUCUGAUUCGGCUGCGGGCGGGUGAGUAAUGCCUAGGAAUCUGCCUGGUGGUGGGGGAUGGGGUUCGAACGGCUCCAUUAAACCGCAUACGUCCUACGGGAGAAAGCAGGGGACCUUCGGGCCUUGCGCUAUCAGAUGAGCCUAGGUCGGAUUAGCUAGUUGGUGAGGUAAAGGCUCACCAAGGCGACGAUCCGUAACUGGUCUGAGAGGAUGAUCAGUCACACUGGAACUGAGACACGGUCCAGACUCCUACGGGAGGCAGCAGUGGGGAAUAUUGGACAAUGGGCGAAAGCCUGAUCCAGCCAUGCCGCGUGUGUGAAGAAGGUCUUCGGAUUGUAAAGCACUUUAAGUUGGGAGGAAGGGCAGUAAGUUAAUACCUUGCUGUUUUGACGUUACCGACAGAAUAAGCACCGGCUAACUUCGUGCCAGCAGCCGCGGUAAUACGAAGGGUGCAAGCGUUAAUCGGAAUUACUGGGCGUAAAGCGCGCGUAGGUGGUUCGUUAAGUUGGAUGUGAAAGCCCCGGGCUCAACCUGGGAACUGCAUCCAAAACUGGCGAGCUAGAGUAUGGCAGAGGGUGGUGGAAUUUCCUGUGUAG
rnacentral:rRNA from 1 species